CCUACGGGUGGCAGCAGUGAGGAAUAUUGGUCAAUGGGCGGGAGCCUGAACCAGCCAAGUCGCGUGAGGGAAGACGGUCCUAUGGAUUGUAAACCUCUUUAGGCGGGGAGCAAUGCCGGGCACGCGUGCCCGGAGGGAGAGUACCCGCAGAAAAAGCAUCGGCUAACUCCGUGCCAGCAGCCGCGGUAAUACGGAGGAUGCGAGCGUUAUCCGGAUUUUUGGGGUUUAAGGGGUGCGUAGGCGGAAUUUUAAGUCGGCGGUAAAAUGUGCGGGCUCAACCCGGGCCGGCCGUUGAAACUGGGGAGCUUGAGUGGGCGAGAAGUAUGCGGAAUGCGUGGUGUAGCGGUGAAAUGCAUAGAUAUCACGCAGAACUCCGAUUGCGAAGGCAGCAUACCGGCGCCCGACUGACGCUGAGGCACGAAAGCGUGGGGAUCGAACAGGAUUAGAUACCCGUGUAGUC
rnacentral:rRNA from 1 species